UGUCAGGGAUAAUACCUGUUUCAAAAGACAAGUUAACACAUUUUGUCAGUAUCGCAAUUAAUGUUUCAUGGCAAUCUUUCAUUAAAUACCCUGGAACUGGAUCCACCACACAUGAUUUUUUCCACAUGGGCUUGAGAAGAGAGCUGAGUUCUUCAUUUGAUGUAAUAGAGAGAUUAUCAAGCCAGUUAGAGGAGCAUUUCUCUUCUGGAAACAGAUAUGUUUGUGUUGAAGGGAAAGUGUUACGAAUAGUUUCAACUUUCUUUGUAAAAAAGUUUGAAAAACUUUCCGCGAGAUCUUUAGGACAGUCACGAGACAGUAAUUUAUUACUAGAUUUAGAAUUUAUAGUUUUAUAGUUUCAGCAUAAAAGUUCAUUUUGAAAUCAUAAAUACCCUGGUUUACUCGAACACAUUGUUCAACAUACAUCUCACGAUGGGUUUUUCGCCAUAGUCGUUUAAGUUUUCUCCGCUGUUUCUUUGCUUCCUUAACCUCAUCAGAAUACCAGGGAGCAGCAGGUCUUACUGUUACAGUACUUGUAACUAGCGGAGCAUGAUUAUUAGGGCUGAAGGUGCGCUCUCUCACUGCGGAUUGGGCCACUCCAAAUUGAAAGCUGUUCAAGCUGCAUAGGGCUCCUAAUUUCUAGAUGGCGAGGUUGUUUAAAAGACACCAAUUAAUAUACUCCGAGGAGUCACGUGACCUCUACUUCAUCUGUGACCCUCCACAUUUGAUAAAGACAACUCGGAAUUGCUGGGAGAAGUAACAUAAUGGACAGAGCAAGAGAAAAAUGAAGAACGAUGGGAUGGAUAUCAGCUGGCAGCACCUAGUAACACUCUACGAACGGGAUGUUUGCAUCAACCGUAAUGCCCCAGGACUGAGGCUGAUUCCUAAGUUGACGCAUGAGCAUGUGUUUCUCAACAGCUUUUUACGUAUGAGGGUCAACCUAGCUGCUCAGGUAAUUUUUCAGGAACCUUUUUUUUUGGACAAAAUUAAAUUCAGAAAAUGUGUUUAUUUUCAGGUUUUGUCAUCUUCUCUCGUCAAUGCCUUUAAGUUCAUUGGGAGGAGAACACCAAAGCUACUGGGAAAUUUGUCUCAAUGAUGGACACCUUAAGAAUGCAGUUGAAGGUGUCAGGUCAAGAAAGCUGUUCAAGUUGCCAUACGAAAAAGGCAGCAGUCUGUUGCAAGAGAUUAUGGACACCUACCCAAGGAGCAAACCAACAGAACGUGCCUUAGUCGUGAAACCUUGGAAGGUCUCAGAAUAACUCGUAA